rnacentral:snRNA from 1 species
AGAGAAUCGCUUGAACCCAGGAGGCGGAGGUUGCAGUGAGCCGAGAUCACACCAUUGUACUCCGGCCUGGGCAACAAGA